GGUGGCGAGGCCCCGUGCCGUGGCAGCUGCCGACCCGGCCCCCUCCCCGAUAGCGCUCCUUUCUUUGUACAUUCUCCUGUUGCUCCUUUGGGGCCCCACGCAUCUCUUCCCCGCUUCCUCUUUCACCGUACUGACAGGCGGCCUGAGGCUCCGACUGCCCCGAGGCCCUGGGACGGGGGCUGGGGCGUUCUUCAGCGUGCCUGCCCGCAGCGAAGCCCUCACUGGCCCCUUAGCUCCGCUCCCAAUCCCAGCAGCUGCCAGCGCCCGGCUGCCGGCCAGGACUCCGGCCAAGAGCGGAAAAGAAAUCUGGGAUUACUGGCUCAGUGAAGUGGCUGUAGCUGUGGAGACAGAAGCAGCAAGGUUUGAACAGAGCUAGUAGCCAGAAAUAUUAUGAAGCGAUCCAUCAGCAUACUCUGAAGGAGUUUGCAUGACUUCUGACUGUCCAAAAUGAAAAGAAGAAAGAGGAAAUUACUGUGAGAAUGUGACCUGCAACUUCCUGUCUGUGAGUAAGAAAGGCUACAUACAUAUUC